UACGUAGGGUGCAAGCGUUACUCGGAAUUACUGGGCGUAAAGCGUGCGCAGGCGGCUUUGCAAGACAGAUGUGAAAUCCCCGGGCUUAACCUGGGAACUGCAUUUGUGACUGCAUGGCUGGAGUGCGGCAGAGGGGGAUGGAAUUCCGCGUGUAGCAGUGAAAUGCGUAGAGAUCAGGAGGAACACCCGGGGCGAAGGCGGCCCUCUGGCUCGACCCUGACGCUGAGGCGCGAAAGCGUGGGGAGCGAACGGG
rnacentral:rRNA from 1 species